rnacentral:rRNA from 1 species
GACGAACGCUGGCGGCGUGCUUAACACAUGCAAGUCGAACGGACAGGCCCUGCUUUUGUGGGGUGCUCGUGUGGCGAACGGGUGAGUAACACGUGUGUAUCCUGCCCUUGUCUUUGGGAUAACUCCAGGAAACUGGGGCUAAUACCGGAUAGGAGCUCCUGCUGCAUGGUGGGGGUUGGAGAGUUGCGGCGGUUGGGGAUGGUCUCGAGGCUUAUCAGCUUGUCGGUGUGGUAGUGGCUUACCAAGGCUUUGACGGGUAGCCGGCCUGAGAGGGUGACCGGCCACAUUGGGACUGAGGUACGGCCCAGACUCCUACGGGAGGCAGCAGUGGGGAAUAUUGCGCAAUGAGCGGAAGCGUGAUGCAGCAACGCCGCGUGCGGGAUGACGGCCUUCGGGUUGUAAACCGCUUUCUCCGGUGACGAAGCGUGAGUGACGGUAAUGGGUAAAGAAGCACCGGCUAACUACGUG